CUCCUACGGGAGGCUGCAGCUAAGAAUAUUCCGCAAUGGACGAAAGUCUGACGGAGCGACGCCGCGUGGAUGAUGAAGGCCGGAAGGUUGUAAAAUCCUUUUGUCGGGGAAGAAUAAGCAUGGGAGGGAAUGCCCGUGUGAUGACAUGAACCGGCGAAUAAGCCCCGGCUAACUACGUGCCAGCAGCCGCGGUAACACGUAGGGGGCGAGCGUUGUUCGGAAUUACUGGGCGUAAAGGGCAUGUAGGCGGUUCUGUAAGCCUGACGUGAAAGGCUAUGGCUCAACCAUGGCACUGCGUUGGGAACUGCGGGACUUGAAUCAUGGAGAGGGAGCUGGAAUUCCAGGUGUAGGGGUGAAAUCUGUAGAUAUCUGGAAGAACACCAGUGGCGAAGGCGAGCUCCUGGCCAAUGAUUGACGCUGAGGUGCGAAAGUGUGGGGAUCAAACAGGAUUAGAGACCCUGGUAGUCCACACUGUCAACGAUGUGCACUAGGUGCUGGGGCGGACGCUUCAGUGCCGGAGCUAACGCGGUAAGUGCACCGCCUGGGGAGUAUGCUCGCAAGGGUGAAACUCAAAGGAAUUGACGGGGGCCCGCACAAGCGGUGGAGCAUGUGGUUUAAUUCGAUGGUACACGAGGAACCUUA
rnacentral:rRNA from 1 species